CCUUGUACACACCGCCCGUCACGCCAUGGGAGUGGAUUGCACCAGAAGUAGGUAGGUUAACCGCAAGGGGGCCGCUUACCACGGUGUGUUUCAUGACUGGGGUG
rnacentral:rRNA from 1 species